GAUGAACGCUGGCGGCGUGCUUAACACAUGCAAGUCGAACGGAAAGACGAGGAUCUUGCUGGUUGCACGUUGGGGGCGGACGGGUGAAACACCCGAGGAUACCCUCCCUAUAAGACUGGGAUAACUACGGGAAACUGGAUAUAACACAGGAUAAUAUAUUGAACCGCAUGGUUCAUUGGAGAAAGACGGUUUUGCUGGCACGAAUGGAUGGUUGCGAGCUGGUUUAGCUAGUUGGUACGGUAACGGCCUACCAAGGCGACGAUGCGUAGCCGACCUGAGAGGACGAUCGGCCACACUGGAACUGAGACACGGCCCAGACGCCUACGGGAGGCAGCAGUGGGGAAUCUUCGGCAAUGGGCGAAAGCCUGACGGAGCAACGCCGCGUGUGUGAUGAAGGUCUUCGGAUCGUAAAGCUCUGUUAUUGGGUAAGAACAAAUGUGUACGUAACCAAGGACUUCUUGACGGUACCGGAUCAAAAAGCCCCGGCUAACUACGUG
rnacentral:rRNA from 1 species